rnacentral:rRNA from 1 species
CCUACGGGGUGCAGCAGUGAGUAAUAUUGGUCAAUGGUCGCAAGCCUGAACCAGCCAAGUAGCGUGAAGGAUGACUGCCCUCUGGGUUGUAAACUUCUUUUAUGCGGGGAUAAAAUGCAGUAUGUGUACUGUUUUGUAUGUCCCUUAUGAAUAAGGACCGGCUAAUUCCGUGCCAGCAGCCGCGGUAAUACGGAGGGUCCGAGCGUUAUCCGGAUUUAUUUGGUUUAAAGUGAGCGUAGGCCGGUUGUUAAUCCUGGCGUGAAAUUAUGUGGCUCAACCGUGGCACUGCGGCUGAUACGGGCAUGCUUGAGUUCGGGGGAGGUAGGCGGAAUUCGUGGUGUAGCGGUGAAAUGCUUAGAUAUCACGAAGAACUCCGAUUGCGAAGGCAGCCUACGGGAGUGUUACUGACGCUGAAGCUCGAAGGCGUGGGUAUCGAACAGGAUUAGAUACCCUAGUAGUC